AGAGGUGUAACCAAGUGGUAUAAGGCAAGGGAGUGCACAUAAUUACAAGUCCUAUCACAGGUUCGAAUCCUGUCACCUCUU
rnacentral:tRNA from 1 species